rnacentral:rRNA from 1 species
ACGGAGGGUCCAAGCGUUAUCCGGAAUCAUUGGGUUUAAAGGGUCCGUAGGCGGGCAAUUAAGUCAGAGGUGAAAUCCCACAGCUCAACUGUGGAACUGCCUUUGAUACUGGUUGUCUUGAGUUACAGUGAAGUAGAUAGAAUAUGUAGUGUAGCGGUGAAAUGCAUAGAUAUUACAUAGAAUACCGAUUGCGAAGGCAGUCUACUAACUGUAUACUGACGCUAAUGGACGAAAGCGUGGGGAGCGAACAGG